GACCGCGCAGGGGCUGCCGGGUAGACGCCGGAGUGGCAGCUGUGGGCUUAGCGCCUAUUGAGUGCAGACAGUGUUCCAGCGUCCUGCAAGAGGUUAGCCCCUGCGGGGACCCGGGAAGGGAAGAAGAAAGUUGCUUCCCAGCCCAGCAUCUCCAAAAAUCUCACUGGUUAGAAACUCAGACCCCCCGUUCCCACGCCCGGCCUGAUAAAUCAAAAUCUGCGCGGCGAGGACCCAGAAUCUGGAUGUCACCAGAUCCUGAACUUCUGGGGACUGCUGAGUAAGAACUAGAACCUGACAGACUUCACACCCCGCACACCUCCAAUGGAUGAAAUGGAUGAAGGGGGUCAGAAGGUCAUUUGCCAUAGAUGUCCAAAAGGAGAACUGCUUUGUCAAAAGGCUCGCCCUUGGCCUCCCGCCCAGCUGCCAGUGGCCAGCAGGAAGCUGGAAGUGCGCACCCUUCUCCAGUCUCGGCAUGACAGCCCAGGGCAGGGCACCUACCCGCGUUCCUAGCUGUGAUCUUGGAGCCGUG